rnacentral:rRNA from 1 species
GGCAUGGAUUAGGCAUGCAAGUCGUGCGCGAAAGUCUUCGAACGAGUAAAGCGGCGAAAGGGUGAGUAACACGUAACCAACGUACCCCUCAGAUCGGGAUAACCACCGGAAACGGUGGAUAAUACUGAAUGGUCCUAGGAAGGACAUCCUUCCGAAGGUAAACGGCGGCUUCGGCUGCUGUUGAGGGAGCGGGUUGCGUCCUAUCAGCUUGUUGGUGAGGUAACGGCUCACCAAGGCUAUGACGGGUAGCGGGUCUGAGAGGAUGAUCCGCCACACUGGGACUGAGACACUGCCCAGACUCCUACGGGAGGCUGCAGUCGAGAAUCUUCCACAAUGGGCGAAAGCCUGAUGGAGCGACGCUGCGUGUAGGAUGAAGGCCUUAGGGUUGUAAACUACUGUCACGCUAUAGGAACCCGUGUAGGUUAAUAGCCUGCGCGCUGACCAAAGCGAGAGGAAGUGCCGGCUAACUCCGUGCCAGCAGCCGCGGUAAGACGGAGGGCGCAAGCGUUGUUCGGAAUCACUGGGCAUAAAGGGCGCGUAGGCGGCCAGUUCAGUCGGAUGUGAAAUCCCCCGGCCCAACCGGGGAACUGCAUUCGAUACUGACUGGCUAGAGGAUGGUAGGAGCCAAUGGAACUCCAGGUGGAACGGUGAAAUGUGUAGAUAUCUGGAGGAACACCGGUGGCGAAAGCGAUUGGCUGGGCCAUUUCUGACGCUGAGGCGCGAAAGCUAGGGGAGCGAACGGGAUUAGAUACCCCGGUAGUCCUAGCCGUAAACGAUGGGUACUGGGCAAUGGACUUACCUAUGUAGUUCAUUGCUGUAGCUAAUGUGUUAAGU